ensembl:lncRNA
GAAUAAAAAAAAAAACCCCUGGGAACUGUUGAGUCCUGGCCUGAACCAUUGAUUGAGCACCUGGGGAAGGAGCUGGUCAGCCCUGGGAGCACAGGUGAAGGCAAUCCAGCUGUAUGACCAGAAGGGGUGGAGCCUGGCUGCACCUCCCUUAGGCCUCAUUUAAGAGCUGACUGCCAAUGGGGAAGGAUAUCUUCCUGGAGGUCUCUCCUUGGUGAAGCUUUCCCAUGCAAACCUGGAAUCUUCUGAUGCAGGGAGACCGGAGGAAGGUUGAGCAGCAAGCACUGUGCAGACCUCCAGCAUCAACAGCACUAGGCAAACAUACAGGCCAGGAGCGAGGGAGCAGCCUGGGUGUGAUGGAUGCGAACAGCCUUGGGUUAAGAGAACUGCAGAAGCAGCAGUGGUUGCACGUGUCAGUGGCAUCACGUUCAGUCUUUUGUGACAAGGAAGGAGGAUGUGGGAAACAGCACCACUGGCAGGAGGGUCAAUCUGGACAAACAGCUCCAAGUAUGUGAGUUAUCUGACCUUUCAGUGGGUGAAAAGUGGCAAGGCUGCAGCACCUGGUGGCCUCCAAGAGGGGAGGAGGAAGCAGGGAGUACUGAGUGUGUGUGUGUGUGUGUGUUUGCCUGAGGAUGGCAAAUGAUGUAGAUAGAGGGCAGACGUGUUGGGGUGGACCACAGGGUGUGUCAUAACCAUAAACCAAGUAACUGCCCCUCAGGGCUGGGUAGGGGGAAGGGGGACCCAAUACCUCAGCUGGAGGUGCUGGUAGGGUCUGCUGCAAGCAGACGGGGUGCUGGUUUAGUGCUGGUGUAUGCGUGCAAAGGCUCAGCACAGCUCCCCCGUGCCUGCUUGCGCUGAGAGAGCAG